UACGUAGGGUGCAAGCGUUUGUCCGGAAUUAUUGGGCGUAAAGAGCUCGUAGGCGGUCUGUCGCGUCGGAUGUGAAAAUCCAGGGCUCAACCCUGGACCUGCAUUCGAUACGGGCAGACUAGAGUUCGGUAGGGGAGACUGGAAUUCCUGGUGUAGCGGUGAAAUGCGCAGAUAUCAGGAGGAACACCGGUGGCGAAGGCGGGUCUCUGGGCCGAAACUGACGCUGAGGAGCGAAAGCGUGGGGAUCAAACAGG
rnacentral:rRNA from 1 species